rnacentral:rRNA from 1 species
GACGAACGCUGGCGGCGUGCUUAACACAUGCAAGUCGAACGGUGAAGCGCUUGCCUUUUUGGUGGGUGUGGAUGAGUGGCGAACGGGUGAGUAACACGUGAGUAACCUGCCCUCUUCUUCUGGAUAACCUCAUGAAAGUGGGGCUAAUACGGGGUAUUCCGGGUCUGUCGCAUGGCGGGUUUGGGAAAGAUUGCGCCUUUGGGUGUUUUCGGUGGGGGAUGGGCUCGCGGCCUAUCAGCUUGUUGGUGGGGUGAUGGCCUACCAAGGCGGUGACGGGUAGCCGGCCUGAGAGGGUGGACGGCCACACUGGGACUGAGACACGGCCCAGACUCCUGCGGGAGGCAGCAGGGGGGAAUAUUGCACAAUGGGCGCAAGCCUGAUGCAGCGACGCCGCGUGAGGGAUGGAGGCCUUCGGGUUGUGAACCUCUUUCGCCAGUGAAGCAGGCCUGCUCCUGUGUGGGUGGGUUGACGGUAGCUGGAUAAGAAGCGCCGGCUAACUACGUG